rnacentral:rRNA from 1 species
GACGAACGCUGGCGGCAUGCCUUACACAUGCAAGUCGAACGGUAACAGGUCUUCGGAUGCUGACGAGUGGCGAACGGGUGAGUAAUACAUCGGAACGUGCCUAGUAGUGGGGGAUAACUACUCGAAAGAGUGGCUAAUACCGCAUGAGAUCUACGGAUGAAAGCAGGGGAUCGCAAGACCUUGUGCUACUAGAGCGGCCGAUGGCAGAUUAGGUAGUUGGUGGGAUAAAAGCUUACCAAGCCGACGAUCUGUAGCUGGUCUGAGAGGACGAUCAGCCACACUGGGAAGGAGACACGUCCCAGACUCCACCGGGAGGCAGCAGUGGGGAAUUUUGGACAAUGGGCGCAAGCCUGAUCCAGCAAUGCCGCGUGCAGGAUGAAGGCCUUCGGGUUGUAAACUGCUUUUGUACGGAACGAAAAGCCCUGGGUUAAUACCCUGGGGUCAUGACGGUACCGUAAGAAUAAGCACCGGCUAACUACGUGCCAGCCGCCGCGGUAAAAC